UCGGGAAUUUUGGGCAAUGGGCGAAAGCCUGACCCAGCAACGCCGCGUGAAGGAUGAAGUAUUUCGGUAUGUAAACUUCGAAAGAAUAGGAAGAAUAAAUGACGGUACUAUUUAUAAGGUCCGGCUAACUACGUGCCAGCAGCCGCGGUAAUACGUAGGGACCAAGCGUUGUUCGGAUUUACUGGGCGUAAAGGGCGCGUAGGCGGCAUGACAAGUCACUUGUGAAAUCUCUGGGCUUAACCCAGAACGGCCAAGUGAUACUGUCGCGCUAGAGUGCAGAAGGGGCAAUCGGAAUUCUUGGUGUAGCGGUGAAAUGCGUAGAUAUCAAGAGGAACACCUGAGGUGAAGACGGGUUGCUGGGCUGACACUGACGCUGAGGCGCGAAAGCCAGGGGAGCAAACGGGGAUUAGAUACCCAAGUAGUCCCUGAGCGGGCUGGCAAGGCGCAU
rnacentral:rRNA from 1 species